CAUGAAGUGCGAGGCUGGGGAGGCGCUGAUCGAUGUCGAGAGAGAGCUGCCGAUUAGUGCAGCUGCGACGCGGCAAGACGCCAGAGCACUUAGCUUCCCUGCUCCAUUGGGCGGUGGAAUCUCCAUCUCCUCAUCAGAUGAGUCAAAAUUAGACUCUGACUCAACCACCAUUGGCGCCUUUUCUUUUCCUUUUACUUUGAAUGUGUCUCGCUUCUUAGCCAAAGGUUGUGUUGAAGCUCCUUCUCAGAUCUUAAAUGGAACCUCUUGGCCUAGUGGCCGUGUUUGUGCCCUUUGUUGUGUUUGUGCGGUGGCUUGGUACUUCAUAUGAUGGACUCAGU
rnacentral:lncRNA from 1 species